CGCUCCUCUUAUUUUUCUUUCCCUUUGAGUUCGAUUCUUUCUACAGCUGCUCCUUUCCUCCUUAUGUGACAACGACAUAGCACCAACAACCACAUCUCCUCUCCUCUCAGGCUCUCCUCCUUCUGUGACGACGUAGACGAGACAGGGUCGGCGACGUCAUAUUCUUUCCUCAAUUCCUAUCUCAUAUCAGUUUAAGACAGUACAUAAACAUUGUUGUAGCAGUGAUUAAUAACUACAAGAUUAUCAGCAAAGAAAAAGCAAGCAUCUGGAGUCUCGGAUUUGUGGCGAUUAGAUAAUGCUCCACAUUCAACUUUAAGGCUAUAUCUGCCUUACAUGAAAUCAGUGAAUGCUCAGCUAACUUAAGACACAUAUAAGAAGAAGAACUAUUGUUGGCUAGUGACAGACAUUCAAUCCAAGCAUAUAAAUAUGAAAAAGAAGGAACCGAAGGGAGAGGGAUGAUGACUUCUUAUGACAGAACAUCAAUCAGGAAUCAGGAUAGCUAAAAAGUAAAGAGAUGUCUACUAUUCAACCAAUUAUCUUCAGAGUCAAUCAAUCCAUAUUGGGAUGACAGUCGGGUCAAGCAUCCCAUAUUGUUUUGUCUCGUGCAGGGAAUUUUGUUUCCUCUGGCCUCACAGCAAAGACUACGUAAUUUGGAUUUGAAAUGUGUGUACUUUGAUUUCUGUGCUUAGUAGAAAAAAUAUAGUGGAGGUUGCUGUGGUCUCUGAGAUAGUUGCAGGCCUUUACAAAGGGUUGAUCUGGAAAAGAGACAUGCAGAGAAGGAAUGGGUAGAAAAGGGGCACAUGCCUUCUGGACUUCUCAACCCACUGAACAUGAAACUUCACUGCAAUUAAUGGUACCAUGCAUAUGAAGAGUCCUAAUUUACAUGGCUUCUAAAUCUUCUUCAUGCGAAAGGGACUCACUCUUCUUCUUGGGCUUCUUAAUUUGAAAUUGGUCUUUAUUAUGUUUUCCAGCUAGGUAUUGUUUUGAUUUUGAUUUUGGAUUUGCAGGUAUUCCAACUAGCAGCCCAUCCACCUUUCCCAGCAUCUUAUAUGGGUCGGGGUAAAGAAUUAGGCCAAGUACAAGACUAAUAUACUAUUUUGGAGUCUAUUUAUUUGGCUACUUGAAUUUGUAAUAUUUUCAUUGUAU